UGUGACAAAUCUCAGUCAUCUCUAGAGAGAGCAGGUUCUUGUCAAGGAAAGGAGUGGAGGAGACCGAAUGCCAACAGCCAGAAGAUCUYUAGAGGGAACAGCAAGUCUUUCUGUCAAGAAAACCCCUUUCUCUGUGGACUGUUGGAGGACAAGAAUAAAAUUGUGUUUGAUUCUAUCCACUUUAAAUAAACACACUUGGGCAGUCAUAACAGGGAAAGUUUAGCAAGGACAGGCCCCGUUCCACGCACCCCACAGUAAGAGAGAUGAACCAACUGGUUGGUAAGAACCAGCUGAAGAGUGCUCAGAGAAGAGUGGUGAGAAACAAAGAGAUGUGGAAAUUUCCCAUGAAGAGAUUUGUAUAGCAUUGUGGUUGCUUAGAUGUGAGAAGAUUGUGGAGGGGGCACUGCAGCAGUGUUCAAGCAAAAAUAUUGUCUAAGUCCAUUAUGAAUAAAUUGUGAAGAAAAUUACA
rnacentral:lncRNA from 1 species